rnacentral:rRNA from 1 species
UACGUAGGGCGCAAGCGUUGUCCGGAAUUAUUGGGCGUAAAGAGCUCGUAGGCGGUCUGUCGCGUCUGCUGUGAAAACUCAGGGCUUAACCCUGAGCUUGCAGUGGGUACGGGCAGACUAGAGUGUGGUAGGGGAGACUGGAAUUCCUGGUGUAGCGGUGAAAUGCGCAGAUAUCAGGAGGAACACCGAUGGCGAAGGCAGGUCUCUGGGCCACUACUGACGCUGAGAAGCGAAAGCAUGGGGAGCGAACAGG